rnacentral:rRNA from 1 species
UACGUAGGUGGCAAGCGUUGUUCGGAAUUACUGGGCGUAAAGCGCGCGUAGGCGGCUCUUCAAGUCAGGCGUGAAAGCCCCGGGCUUAACUCGGGAACUGCGCUUGAUACUGUCGAGCUAGAGUGUGGAAGGGGCGAUUGGAAUUCCGUGUGUAGCGGUGAAAUGCGUAGAUAUACGGAGGAACACCAGAGGCGAAGGCGGGUCUCUGGACAGUUCCUGACGCUGAGGAGCGAAAGCGUGGGGAGCGAACAGG